AUAACACACAAGACUCGAUGCACAGCACAAAUUAUAUAGCUAUUUGAUUAGAGAAGAGAGACAUCAAAAUGACAAAAGCUCAACCGACUUCGUUUCCUUGCUCAUCUUCUUCAUUCUCAUGUCUGGAGGAGGAGAAAGAGUAGAAGGAAGAGGACAUGUUGAAUGCCCAAGAAUGAUAGACUGCAAUUCGGUGUGUCAAGGAUUUCCCAACUGCUGCGUCAACGGUCAAUGCAUUUGUCAGCCGUGCACUCUUCACUUUGAUCCAAACCCUACUAGCAAAACUCAUCAGCCUGUAAUUUUCAGUUAUAAUUAAUAUUAUCUUUUCUGUAAUUAACGUAAAAACCAAUUAUAAAUGGUGUUAAUUAGAGGAUGCGAAUAAAAAAGCUAGAAUUUUUUAAAAAAUUGUAUUCUUGUUUUUUUUUUUAAAGUGCGUUUGGACAUGUGCUGAGGGGGAGGAAAAAAAAAAAAAAGGUUCCGAUAUGAAUAUGUAUCCCAUAAUCGAGGAGUUAUAAUGAGAUAUUAAUACUUUUUACUUA